AUCAUAUACAGUCAGUGUGUUGUCUAACCUGAAGUUUUGUUAAACUAAACAGCUUUUAUGCUCGUAAAAUGCUGGUUGUAUAGUAUCACCUGCCAAUUUGGCAUUUUAUUAUUGAUAAUCCUAUGGAAGAUUCAUGCACAGUUGAAAUCAUGCUUCAUAUACAAAACUAAAAAAAUUUAAGAGGCGGGAGGGUUAGUAGUUCUUUGUAAAUGAAUGGAAAAAUAUAUUUUCUGUCUUGCAAAUGAGCACCUUCCAUCUGUAACUACCUAUUUCAACUCACUCUCAGAGAGUGUGAGCACAUCGUAAUAAGAACUACUGUUUGAAUGGAGCAUCCAGUUAAAAACCCGGAUAUUAAAAUACCUAGCCUUUGAUUAAUUAACCUUGAUUAAGUGACUCAGCACUAAUGUAUAUUCAGCAAUGAUAUUUCAUGUAUUUUCAAUUUUGGCUUACUCCAAUUCAUGAUCUUGGAAAGCUAAAGGAAAUGUAAAGUUGUAUGAAAUAUCAAUCUAUCAUGUAUCAGAACAGGGUUUUUGUUAUUUUUUAAGUGCUUCAAUUGUGCAUUUUUUCAAGAUUCAAUUUAGAACAAAAUAUAAGCUUUGAGGGCUAUUGAACAGUUUUGUGAAGUAGUAUACAUUAUAUAGAGAAUGUUAUCCUUAUUAUUGAAACAAUUUAUGAAAUCUUACAAUGCCACUAUUCAUAAAGCAAAUAAGAAUAUUUCAUACUUUCCCACAUAAAUUCAACAAUAGUUGCAGGUUUCAGAACAUAAAUGAACUAUGUCACUAUAAAGAACAAUAUUCACGUAGUGACAGAAAUUCAGAAUUUCUUAAAUAUUAAAAAGUGUGAGAAGAAAUUUCAGUGCAUAUAGUCCCAUUAUAAGCUGAGAAUGCAUCUAAAGAAUAGUACAAAAUAUAAUCCAAAAUAAACCGCAAUACAAUCAUUAAAUUAUGGAUGUUUGUUUCAUUAAUUUGGUUGAAUCUGGUCAAAAAAUUAAAAUUAGUUAAGAAAAUUGCCAAGUAACACGGACAACCAUAGCCUUUUAUGUAUAAAGAGCAGUUGAUUAGCCUGGAUGUGAGACAUAAAUGUAACCUUCUCCAGCUGGGAUCUAGAGGACUACCGCUUAUCCCAGCAACACUGGAUGCAAGAAUCCUUUCACUCACACUAUGUCAGUUUAAAAUCUGUAGCUGAACAUACGUUUUUGGGAUGUGGGAGAUAAAAGGAAUAAUGUGAAAUAUCACAAAGGAAAAAGAGCACUGCUAGUCUAACUUAAAAAGUUCCAAAGUAUAUAAACUCUUCUUCAAUUAUAUUUAAUUAUGCUUAUUUUUUAAUUUCUUUCCAAAAUCUAGAAUAUUAUAAUGGCAUGCAACACAAUCAAACAAAUCAUAAUAACAUAACAAAUACAACCAAUUACUUAAAAAUUAAUAUAGAGAAAACAAAGGAAAACCAGAAAUACAAAGGGGAAAACUAAAGAAUUAUUAUAUUCACAACACCUUUUAUUUGUAGGGAUGCUAUCCAAAUUCAGGGGGAAAAAAGGGAAAAUUGAGAUAAAAUAAAAUAAAAGCUCAGUUGUGGUUCUUUGUUGUCUAAAAUGGAGAAAAGAGAAUUUUGUUUGAAAUAUUGUGAGUAUACUGCGGUGGUUGUUCAUGCUAUGAUUUAGUAUGAUAACAUACAGUGAACUCAGUGAGUUAUUUCGUAUUUUUAUAAGAAUUAAGUCCUCUAAUAUAAAAAGCCAUCUAAAAAUCAGUUAAAAAAGAAAAAAAGACAUAAGAAAUUCUUAAAAUGGAAAAAUAUAAAAAAUAUAUACAAUUUACUAUAAUAACAUUUAAUCUUUACCAAAAAGAGCAUCUUUAUUAAAGUAUGUACGUUGUAUGUUUUUCAUUAUUCUGCAUAUCAGAAAGAAAGCAAAACCUAUUGCUUGUUUGCUAAGAAAUCAGUUAUUCAAAAAUCAAACAUUUGAUCUUUUUUAUUACAAAGAAGUUCAUGCAUGGUGCAGCAUACAAAAAUAUAGAAAUUGUGACUACUAAAAACUUUGGCUUUUGAAUGUAUCAUAUUCAUAACAAAAUACUUGAAAAAUAAGAAAAAAAAGAAAGUUGAUCAUUUUUUAAAUACCCUUUCAGAGUCAUUGACAAUCUUUGUUCAGCGUACUGUUAGUCUUUUGUUUUAUAAAAUUUGUGCUUUGGAAUACAAGUUGAUAUUCUCCACUUCAGUAACCACCUCUGUGUGCAACUUUUGUUGUUCUUUCACUGCCCAUUCUGUAAAAUGGUUAAUGUCUUGUUAAUGUCUUUUGUUUAUUCAGACAUGGCCUAUGACAUUUUUACACAGUGUUGUACACCCUCUGAUGUAUGGUGAAUGAGAUAUCUGUGGUUUUAUGUACACUUCAUCAAAAACUGUUUGGAAUUCUUUCUUUUUAUGUAGCAAGAUUGCAUAAACUUUACCAAAAUAAUUUUAUUGACAUACAGUACAUUCAGUAAGUGGAGGCACAGGAAAAAAAAUAUACUUUUUAUGUUCAGAAUUUUAAAUUUGUCACUGUGUGACUAGGAGAUGUACAGCUGAUUGAAUUAAUUUAAAUUAUAUGGAGCUUUCACUUUAGUUAUAAAAUUAUAAAGGCUACUGGAUUUUGAUGUAUAUUCAAUAGCCAAUUAUUUUAUUGUACUUAAAAUUCCAAAAUGUGCAUGAUCAGUAUAAAAACAAAUUAUGUUGGAAUACUGUAUAUUGAAUGUGGAGGGCCCAGUUCUUUUAUAAAUUUCCAAAUAUGUUGUUAUAUUUCUCCUGGAUAUGAACAGUUAAUAUAUAUAUAUAUAUAUAUAUAUAUAUAUAUAUAUAUAUAUAUAUAUAUAUAUAUAUAUAUAUAUAUAUAUAUAUAAAGUAGUGCUAUCCUUGUUAAAGCCAUAUUUUAAAAGACAAAAUAUGAAUUUGGACUUUUGGUUUGGAGUUCUGCCACCUGCUGAGGACCAUACAGAACAUUACUGCUCUAAAAACCAACUGCUCUCAGGAGGAGUUAAGAGACAAUGAAUAUAUACAGUAUGAGACCUGUGAUCAUGUGAGCAAUGUUACUCUUGAAACAAAGCCAACUUGAAUAAAUAUAGCUGUGACAAUUA